UGAAAUAAAAAAAAAUUCUAGUCCAAUAACAUUCAAAAGAGAUUUACUUAGCCAAAAAAUCCUAAACAACCCUUUUGUCAAUCAAGAGGAGAAUAAAUAAAUUGUGGUAUGUUCAGACCAAAACCUCCACUCAACUAUAAAAAGGAACCUACUGAUGCAUGCAGUGUGAGUGAAUCUCACAUUGUGCUCAGUGAGACGUGUUAAACACAAAAGGGCACAUACUGUGUGAUUUUAGUUACAUGAAAUUCUAGAACAGGCAAAGUUAACCUAUAGAGAGAACAAUCAGAUGAGUGGUUGCCUGGAGUGGGGAGUGAAAGGGAGAUUGCCUGUAAAGGGGAGGGAAGGAGGUGAAAAUGUUUUAUACCUUUGAUAAAAGUCAUCUACUUGAUAUUUCAAAUAUGUAGAACUUAUUGUCCGUAAAUUAUGUCUCAGUAAAGCCGGUUUAUUAAAAAAAAGGCAAAAACAUAACAAUGGGGUAGUCUUUAGUAAUAUACAAGGGUUAUACUAUGCUUGGAGUGCUGUGACUUUGGAUACAGAUGUCUAACAAGAUCGGUUAUUUUACAGCCUUCAAUGCACUCUGAAGUCCACACAAAACACAAACUAUUCUGCUUUUCUGUCCAGUCCAAAAAUAGCCCUAGGAAAAAACCUUUUAACAUUAACAAUGUGCUUCCCUUUUUAGAAUUCUGGAGAAUCAUGGGGAAAUUAUGUAUAAGAUAUAGGGCUCUUUUCAAAAUCAGCUUUUCAGAGAAAACUGAAAUAUCCUUUCUCUUUCUUCUGAUAAAUUUCCCUGAAAGAAACAGAAACACACCAAGUAAUCCCAUUGAUCUUUUUUUUUCUUUCUUUUUUUUUUUUUUUUCUGAGAUGCAGUCUUGCUCUGUCAUUUCAGCUGGUGUGCAGUGACACGAUCCCGGCUCCACUGCAACCUCCACCUCCCAGGUUCAAGCGAUUCUCCUGCCUCAGCCUCCUGAGUAGCUGGAAUUACAGGCAGUCAACACCAAGCCUGGCUAAUUUUUGUAUUUUUAGUAGAGACGGGGUUCCACCAUGUUGGCCAGGCUGGUCUCAAACUCAUGACCUCAGGUGAUCCACCCACCUUGGCCUCCCAAAGUGCUGGAAUUACAGACAUGAGCCACCACGCCCGGCCUCAGUUUCAGCACUUUUUUUUUUUUUUGUGAUGGAGUUUUGCUCUUGUUGCCCAGGCUGGAGUGCCAUGGCGCGAUCUCAGCUCACUGCAACCUCUGCCUCCCCAGGUUGAAGCAAUUUCCCGCCUCAGCCUCCUGAGUAGCUGGGAUUACAGGCGUGUGCCACCAUGCCUGGCUAAUUUUGUAUUUUUAGUAGAGACGGGGCUUUGCCGUGUUGGCCAGGCUGGUCUCGAACUCUGACCUCAAAUGAUCCACCACCUCAGCCUCCCAAAGUGCUGGGAUUGCAGGCAUGAGCCACCUUGACCGGCCAGUUUGAAUGCUUUCUAUCAAUCCACGUUUGUCUACUGACUCUUCCUCACCUUCAUAUUGUUAAUUGAGUCCAUCUAGUGAGUUUUAAAUUUUUGUUAUUGUAUUUUUGUUUUAAAAUUUCCAUUUGAGGCUAGGUGUUGUGGCUCAUGCCUGUAAUCCCAGCACUCUGGGAGGCCGAGGUGGUCGAAUCACUUCAAUUCAGGAGUUUGCGACCAGCCUGGGUGACAUGGCAAGACCCUAUCUCUACACAAAAUACAAAAAUUGUGCAUGCUUCGGUAGCACAUAUACUAAAAUUGGAAAGAUACAGAGAAGAUUAGCAUGGCCCCUGCACAAAGAUGACAUGCAAAUUUGUGUUGCGUUCCAUAUUCGCUUGAACCUGGGACAAGGAGGUUGCAGUGAGUCUAGAUCGUGCCAGGGCACUCCAGCCUGGGCAACAAGAGCGAAACUCUGUCUCAAAACCUCAAAACAAAACAAAACAAAACAAAACAACAAAACAAGGCCGGUGUAGUGGUUCAUGCCUGUAAUCCCAGCACUUUGGGAGGUGGAGGCAGGUGGAUCACCUGAGGUAAGGGGUUCAAGACCAGCCUGGGCAACAUGGUGAAACCCCCGUCUCUACUAAAAAUACAAAAAUUAGGCCAGGCAUGGUGGCUCAUGCCUGUAUUCCCAGCACUUUGGGAGGCCGAGGUGGGCAGAUCACAAGGUCAGGAGAUCGAGACCUUCCUGGCUAACACAUUGAAACCCUGUCUCUACUAAAAAUACAAAAAAUUAUCUGGGCAUGGUUGUGGGCGCCUGUAGUCCCAGCUACUCAGGAGGCUGAGGCAGGAGAAUCGCUUGAACCCAGGAGGUGGAGGUUGCAGUGAGGUGAGAUCAGGUCACUGCCCUCCAGCCUGGGCGACAGAGCAAGACUCUGUCUCAAAAGAAAAAAAAAAAGAAAAAUUAGCCAGGCGUGGUGGCGGGCACCUGUAAUCCCAGGUGCUCGGGAGGCCAAGGCACUAGACUCGCUUGAACCAGGGAGGCAGAGGUUGCAGUGAGCUAAGAUUGUGCCAUUGUACUCUAGCCUGGGUGACAGAGUGAGACUCUGUCUCAAAAAACAAAACAAAACAAAACAAAACAACUAACAAAAGGAUAAUAAGGGAAUACUAAGCAAUUCUACCCAUAUAAAUCCAACAAGUUGGAUGAAAUGGACCAAUUCCUUGAAAACUACAAACUACCAAAAAACACUCCAUAGGAAACAUAAUUUUUAAAAUCUUGUAACAAUUUUAAAAAUUGAAUUCAUGGUUUUUUAUUUUUAUUUUAUUUUAUUGUGAGACUGUAUCUCACUCUGUCACCCAUACUGGAGUGCAGUGGCACAAUCACGGCUCACUGCAGCCUUGACUUCCUGGGCUCAGGUGAUCUUCCCACCUCAGCCUCCUGAGUAGUUAGGACUACGGGCGCCCGCCACCACACCCAGCUAGAUUUUUAUUUUUUGUAGAGAUGGGGUUUUGCCAAGUUGCCCAGGCUGGUCUUCAACUCCUGGGGCUCAAGCAAUCCACCUGCCUCAGCCUCCCAAAGUGUUAAGAUUACAGGCAUGAGCCACUAGGCCCAGCUGAAUCCUUUUUUUUUUUUUUUUUUUUUUGAGAUGGUGUCUCAGUCUAUCACCCAGGCUGGAGUGCAGUGGCACAAUCUUGGCUCCCUGCAACCUUUGCCUCCUGGGUUCAAGCGAUUCUUUUGCCUCAGCCUCCCAAGUAGCUGGGACUACAGGUGCCCACCACUACACCUGGCUAAUUUUUUGUAUUUUCAGAAGAGACAGAGUUUUACUAUGUUGGCCAGGCUGGUCUCGAACUCCUGACCUCAUGCUAUCCACCCACCUCAACCUCCCAAAGUGUUAGGAUUACAGGUGUAAGCCACCACGCCUGUCCUUGAAUUCAUAGUUUUAAUAAAAGAAUUUCUUGUCUUCAUGGUCGCAUACAACUAGUUUGGUGAUUCCCUGGAAGGACCCAUGUGACUCUAGAUCAAGUUAUACUCUAGGUGAAGGUUUAUUACAGUGGAGGAUACAAUACAAAGACAGCAGGAAAAAGGAUAUUAAUAGAUGAAGGCUGGAAGGUCAAAUGCAUACUUAACCUCUGCAGGGACAGCACAGACUUAUCUUUUCCAGGAGCAAACUGCAAGGACUUGUGUGAGAUGUCCUUGCCCAGGAAAUCGCACUUGAGUUCUGGAGUCAAAAUUUGUGUGGUUAGGCCAGGCACAGUGGCUCAUCCCUGUAAUCCCAGCACUUUGGGAGGCCGAGAUGGGAGAACUGCUUGAGUCCAGGAGUUUGAGACCAGCCUGGGCAACAUGGUAAGAUCAGAUCUUUAUUUAAAAAAAAAAAAAAAAGGCUGGGCGUGGUGGCUCAUGCCUGUCAUCCCAGCACUUUGGGAGACCAAGGCGGGUGGAUCACCUGAGGUCAGGAGUUCGAUACCAGCCUAGGUAACAUGGUGUAACCCCAUCUCUACUAAAAAUACAAAAAUACAAAAAUAUUAGCUGGGCAUGUUGGCAGGCACCUGUAAUCCCAGCUACUCUGGAGGCUGAGGCAGGAGAAUCGCAUGAACCCGGGAGGCGGAGGUUGCAGUGAGCCUAGGUCGUGCCACUGCACUCAAGCCUAGGAGACAAGAGCAAGACUCCAUCUGGCUCAUGGCUGUAAUCCUAGCACUUUGGGAGGCUGACGGGGGCGGAUCACCUGAGGUCAGGAGGUCGAGAGCAGCCUGGCCAACAUGGUAAAACCCCAUCUCUACUAAAAAUGUAAAAAAAUUAGCCGGCUAUGGUGGCACACACCUGCAAUCCCAGCUACUUGGGAGGCUGAGGCGGGAGGAUCACUUGAACCCAGGAGGCGGAGGUUGCAGUGAGCUGAGAUCACACCAUUGCACUCCAGCCUGGGUGACAUUCCUGCCAUGUGACCAAACAGCCCUAAACCACCAGGUUGGGCAUCAUGAAUCUUUUAUUCUUUUUUUUUUUUUUUCAAAAAUGGGGUCUCACUAUGUCUCCUAGGCUGGAGUGCAGUGGCAUGAUCAUAGCUCACUGUGGCUUUUUUUUUUUUUUUUUUUUUGAGACAGAGUCUCGUUCUGUCACCCAGGCUGGAGUGCAGUGGUGUGAUCUUGGCUCACUGCGACCUCUGUCUCCUGGGUUCACAUGAUCCUCCUGUCUCAGUCUCCCAAGUAGCUGAGAUUACAGGCACUCACCACCACGUCCAGCUAAUUUUUUGUAUUUUCAGUAGAGACAGGUUUUUGCCAUGCUGGCCAGGCUGAUCUUGAACUCCUGACCUCAAGCGAUUCUGCCUGCCUCGGCCUCUCCAAAUUCUGGGAUUACAGGCCUGAGCCACUGAGCCUGGCCAAGCAUCAUGAAUCUGUAUGUUUACUUUAAACCUGCUGACAGCCUGGUUCAUCUGGGCUCACUGUUUUGGGCGUGGAGAAUAACAUCUGACCCGGUAGCUAUGUGAAUAUUCCAGGAGUUUGGUUUUCAGACUUUGACCAAUGGCCAUGCUUUGGCUAUAGAAAUAAGUGAGAAAUGAAUGAAUCAGACCUGUUGUGUUAACUCUUUCCUCCCACUCUUAAAAAAGGUAUCUCCAGACCCAGAUAGUUUCACUGGAGAAGUCUGCUCAUAGUUAAAGAAAUAGCAACACCAAUUACACGUAAUCUCCAGAAAACAGAAGAAGGGGCAUUUCCAGACUGACGAGGCCAGUACAGUUGACCCUUAUAACUGCAGGUUCCCCAUCCAUGGAUUCGGCCAACCACAGAUCGAAAAUAUUCCAAAAUAUGGACUCUAGGCACGGUGGCUCACACCUGUAAUCCCGAGAAUCACUUGAACCCAGGAGGCGGAGGUUGCAGUGAGCCGAGAUCACGCCACUGCACCACUGCACCACUGCACCGCUGCACUCCAGCCUGGAUGACAAGAGUGAAACUCCGUCUCAAAAAGAAAAAAAUCACUCUGGGUGGGCAUGGUGGCUCACACCUGUAAUCUCAACAUUGUGGGAGGCCAAUGAGAAAGAAUUGCUUGAGCCCAAGAGUUUGAGACCAGCCUGGGCAAAUAGCAAGACCCUGUCUCUACAAAAAAAUUUAAAAAUUAGCUGGGCAUGGUGGUGCUUCUCUACUGUAAUCCCAGGUACUUGGGAGGCUGAGAUGGGAGGAUCACAUGAGCCCAGGAGUUCCAGGCUGCAGUGAUCUAUGAUUGCAACACUGUACUCCAGCCUCGGGAACACAGCGAGAUCCUGUCUCAAAAACAAACAAAAAAACAAAAACAGGAAAAAACUCAAUUCUGAAAACUUUGCCUUAACUUGUAGUCUAGAGUUGAAGACCCCUCCGCUAAGCUCUGGUGAGAGGCUAACUGAAUAAGAACACUUUGACCAUCAUAUUAUAAUAAUUGCUUUCUCUCUUUCUUUCCCUCUCUCUCUCUUUUUUCUC
rnacentral:lncRNA from 1 species